CUAGACUCUUGGAGCCUGCUCUGUGGGGUUUGUCUUUUUUAAGUGCUGCUGGGAUUUCUAAGUGUGAGUUGUAAACAGCAAAAAGAGCGACCACAAGGAAUGUGUCCCUUCUUAUAAAGGAAGUAUAGCACAGCUCCGAGAAUGGCCAACAGAAGAAUACACACAAUGACAGCCACAAUAACAACGCCAUAGCUUUUUUCACUUCUGGAGCCUACAGAAAUGACCACAAAUACCACAGUUAAUCAGUAUACAGUAUAAUAGACAGAAGAGGUUGCUAGGUAACACUUGUGAGGCGGCCCGACUCUCAGCGGUGAUUGGCUAUACCAAUAACACGUCCUCCGUGAGGGGCGGGCGGCAGGGCUGCGUAUUGACGUCUCCGGGUGUUUCCAUGGAGACGGACGAGUGACGCGGCCGGCCACUGACGUCAGCGGGAGGCGACGCGAUGGAAGCCGGACCCACGAGCGGGAGUCAGGCGCCGCUGCACAGGGUCAGAAGAAUGCAGAGCAUGGGAAACAUUAACAUACUGCAUACUGACUCCAGAUAAGGCUGCCGGGAGGAGCGCCAGCCGGGACGGACAUCACCAACUCUGUGCAUAUAACAGAGGCUAUUGCAAGGUCCAUAUUGACAUCUAUGGUAAUUAACCUGCUAUGAGCAUUUGGAUGCUGUCCACUAAUAUUGUAUGGAUAUGCAUGAACAUUUUGCACUUAUCCAGUGAGAGAUACUAGCAGGGCUACUAACAUUAUUACACAGCUAAAAGACGCUAAAGCCUAAUCACUAACUCAAUUGCUAACAGCUUUCAAGUGCAUGUUACUAAACAUUCCAGGUGGUACAAAGUAUCACUGAAGACUACGCAAAGGAGACUUUGUUGCAGAUCAGUCCUGCAGUGCAAUUGCUUUGUGCUUGCUUUUUUUGUUUUAAAUACACAGUUUUUAGAAUAUGGAAUAUAUGUAUAUUUUAUAUGUGUGAAAGGUGCUGGCCAGUAUCAAAUGUUUUAUUUUAUUAUGUGAUAAAAAAUAUACUGGAAUAAAAUCUACUACAGAUUA